GUGUUAUUAGCUUAGUUGGUUAAAGCGUUGGGUUGUGGUUCCAAAGAUCAUGGGUUCAAGUCCCAUAUAACACC
rnacentral:tRNA from 1 species